UACGUAGGGGCCUAGCGUUGUCCGGAUUUAUUGGGCGUAAAGAGCUCGUAGGCGGUUCGGCAAGUCGGAUGUGAAAUCUCCACGCUUAACGUGGAGGGGCCAUUCGAAACUGCCGUGACUCGAGUCCGGUAGGGGAGUGUGGAAUUCCCGGUGUAGCGGUGAAAUGUGUUGAUAUCGGAAGGAACGCCGGUGGCGAAAGCGACACACUGGAUCUUGUCUGACGCUGAGGCACGAAAGCCAGGGGAGCGAACGGG
rnacentral:rRNA from 1 species